GUCGGAAGGAUUCUGACACGGAACAGGAAAGCACCACGGAUUGGUCAUCUUCAGGAUGAAGAGACGACUGCUCAGGAUGAAUGGUCGGCACGGAAAGCAAAUUGGACAUUGAAUGGACGCAAUAGUAGCUAGGAUGGUUACUACUAAGGAAAGACAAUGGACACCUCUGGACGAGGCAAGGACUGAACAUCAGGAUGAUGUAAAGGACACCGCUCAAGGAACAAGUGAAGCGCGCUAACGUGGAUGGUUAGCAGACUAGGAAGUCACCAAGGACACCGCUAGGAAGGCGAAGAACGGAUUAAGCUGACGGAAUUCAGCCACUAUCAUGGAUUUGAUGCAUGGAGCACUUUCGUAGCUGGAUUGCUGCAAGUAAGACUAUAACCCCGCAGGGCGCAAGCCCUCGGGGUUUUUCUUUU
rnacentral:sRNA from 1 species